UCUGAGGACUUUUUUUUCCCGGCAAUGAGUGUUUAUAGCCAUCGAUGUAUCUUCUAUUCAUCCGCAUGGUAACCAUCCCCUGUAGGACCAUAAAUGGUGAUCAUUUUGGCUGCCUCCUCACAUUCCCAGACCCAGAAUUAACAAGAAAACACCUGAGCCCUGUUCCUAGACGUGUAUUUGAGGUCCAGUGGCUUGGAUCUGAUGUCAGUCCGUGGCCGACGUGCAGAAUAAAUAUCCAUCUUUGUCCGCCCGGCAAAGACGGAACACUGGACAUCUUCAUUGGCGUCACUGUAAGGACAUGGAGAUUAUGAAGUGAGCAGAAGCCAGAGGGACAACAUGAUGGUCAGGUUUUUGCUGCAGUUCUAGAGAACCGCUAUGGGGACAACUUGUGUGCCCUCAUGUGCAAAUUUUGAUCCUGCAGCUGUGGAAGGGAGAAGAUGCCCCAGGCUAAGAAGAAAUGAGAUCUCGAAAUUUGACCGAUAUUCUAAGAAAAAGCCAUUAUAUCCCCCGACUUGAGCGUAAUGUUUUUGGGAAUCAGGGCCCUGAACUAGGGCUCAUUUACUUAUGGAAAUUGCAUGGCGUACAAUUACAUGACUAGAUACUUUACUGUUUGAAAUUCUACCUAGUCCAUCAUAUUGCAUGUAGGUAGUUGUAAUAUAUUUUGCAACAUGCCUCUGUGGAAUAAUUUACAUUGGCAUGACCAGGAGAAAGCUUGGAGGGGUUGUCCCCCAAAAAGUAUUCUACAUUUUUCAAACCAGCUCCUGGAUAUUAAUUGUUUUGUGAUUUCUUAUAAUUAAAAAUGUAAUACAG